UUUACACGGAGCUUGCUCUGGUGGCGAGUGGCGAACGGGUGAGUAAUAUAUCGGAACGUACCCUGGAGUGGGGGAUAACGUAGCGAAAGUUACGCUAAUACCGCAUACGAUCUAAGGAUGAAAGUGGGGGAUCGCAAGACCUCAUGCUCGUGGAGCGGCCGAUAUCUGAUUAGCUAGUUGGUAGGGUAAAAGCCUACCAAGGCAUCGAUCAGUAGCUGGUCUGAGAGGACGACCAGCCACACUGGAACUGAGACACGGUCCAGACUCCUACGGGAGGCAGCAGUGGGGAAUUUUGGACAAUGGGCGAAAGCCUGAUCCAGCAAGGCCGCGUGAGUGAAGAAGGCCUUCGGGUUGUAAAGCUCUUUUGUCAGGGAAGAAACGGUGAGGGCUAAUAUCUCUUGCUAAUGAC
rnacentral:rRNA from 1 species